rnacentral:tRNA from 1 species
GAGGGUAUAACUCAGUGGUAGAGUUCAUACUUAGAAUGCGUGAGGGUCCUGGGUUCAAUCCCCAGUACCUCCA